rnacentral:rRNA from 1 species
GACGAACGCUGGCGGCGUGCCUAAUACAUGCAAGUAGAACGCACAGAAUGCACCGUAGUUUACUACACCGUAUUCUGUGAGUUGCGAACGGGUGAGUAACGCGUAGGUAACCUGCCUGGUAGCGGGGGAUAACUAUUGGAAACGAUAGCUAAUACCGCAUAAGAACAUUUACUGCAUGGUAGAUGUUUAAAAGGUGCAAAUGCAUCACUACCAGAUGGACCUGCGUUGUAUUAGCUAGUAGGUGAGGUAACGGCUCACCUAGGCGACGAUACAUAGCCGACCUGAGAGGGUGAUCGGCCACACUGGGACUGAGACACGGCCCAGACUCCUACGGGAGGCAGCAGUAGGGAAUCUUCGGCAAUGGGGGGAACCCUGACCGAGCAACGCCGCGUGAGUGAAGAAGGUUUUCGGAUCGUAAAGCUCUGUUGUUAAGGAAGAACGAGUGUGAGAAUGGAAAGU